rnacentral:rRNA from 1 species
UCGGCUUAGAGUUUGAUCCUGGCUCAGAUUGAACGCUGGCGGCAGGCCUAACACAUGCAAGUCGAGCGGUAGGGAAGCUUGCUUCUCACGAGCGGCGGACGGGUGAGUAAUGUAUGGGGAUCUGCCCGAUAGAGGGGGAUAACUACUGGAAACGGUAGCUAAUACCGCAUAAUCUCUAAGGAGCAAAGCAGUUCGUUGCGCUAUCGGAUGAACCCAUAUGGGAUUAGCUAGUUGGUGAGGUAAUGGCUCACCAAGGCGACGAUCCCUAGCUGGUCUGAGAGGAUGAUCAGCCACACUGGGACUGAGACACGGCCCAGACUCCUACGGGAGGCAGCAGUGGGGAAUAUUGCACAAUGGGCGCAAGCCUGAU